CCGCGGUAAUAUUGGACAAUGGGCGGAAGCCUGAUCCAGCAACGCCGCGUGAGGGAUGACGGCCUUCGGGUUGUAAAGCACUUUGAUCUGGGAAGAAAAAGCUUUGGCUAAUAUCCAAAGCCUUGACGGUACCAGAGGAACAAGCACCGGCUAACUCUGUG
rnacentral:rRNA from 1 species